AGCGCUGAGUUGAACAGUUGACUAGCCAUGUUGCAACUGCAUAAGUUAUAUUUGGAGAACUGCACAGUUCUGGUCGCUGCACUAUUGAAAGGAUGUGGAGGCUUUGGACAAGGUUGUUCAGGUAUGUUAUACCACUACUCGAGCUGGUGGGAGUUGAACCUGGAUCAUCUGGCUCAGAGUACCGAUGCAUGAUGUAUGGAUACAGAAACAGAACAGAUACAAAACUUCUGACAAGCUAAAUGAAGCAAACGCAAGACACUAAUUGAGAAAAUGUUGAUUUCAGUGCAUAACUUACAAUUAUGAAUCAUCAAGGGCUCAAUAAAUUGUUAAAAAAAUUAACUAUACUCCUGAUUUAAAGAAUCACCACAAUGAAGGAAAUACAACUUUUUUUGC